rnacentral:lncRNA from 1 species
AUUUUGGGAUGGCAUUUUCUGAUCCCUUCCACUCUCUCAUAUGGUCUAGGUCACACUGUUUUACUAGUCAGCUUAUCAGUUUUCUCCCCUGUUCACUCAGAGCUCCUCUAGGACCAGCGCUGUGAAUUAUUUACUUUUGUACCCAAAUGCUGACACAUGGGUCCCACACCCACAGAUGCUGAUGUAAUUGAUCUGGGCUGCUGCCUGGGCGCUGGAAUAUUUAAAAGCUCCCCAGUGAUUCUAGUCUGCAAGAAGGGUUGAGAACAGCUGCCUCUGACAAUAUUUCAGAUCCAAGCAUUUUCCCAACAUUCUCACAAGCUCCCAAGGGAUUUUGAGAAGUGGAUGUCAGAGAUGGAGGGGAGAUGCUGAAACCAAACUCUGGCUUUGGUUUUGCUGUCAAGUCAGAGUAUAUGUGGGGGACAAGAGUUGUGUUGCUGUGGGAAGGAAGCAGCGUGUUGGAAGAGGGCCUUAACGCAGCCGCCUUUCCCAAGAGUUCGGGGAGUCAUUCUGAUGAGCCAUCAGCAGGAACUGAGCUGAUGGAGGAUGGGAGAACCCUGGUAACCGUCAGGCACCACACUCGCGGCUUGGCCUGUAGGAGAUGCAGCACUUCCCUCUACUGGAAGGAGGACCUAACGACAAGGGGUCUUCGACGGGCCCCCCAGAUUGCGCAGCCACAGUACUUCAGAAGGUACUUGAUAUCAAUAUGUGGGCUCUGGAGAGUUAAUAAAAGACUAUAUCAGGCUGCAUUUGCUUUCAAGGACAGAGACCCUGGCAUAUCCCUUUAGUACCUAGCAUGUGGUGUAUAAUAAAUGCUCAAUAAAUGUAUGUUGUAAAGGCA